rnacentral:ncRNA from 1 species
GGAAUUAAUGAACUAGCACUAAUACUUAUGGUCUUAUGUACUUCGUGCAUUACUGCUAGCCCCCAUGAAUAAUAUAUU